rnacentral:rRNA from 1 species
UACAUGGGGUGCAAACGUUGCUCGGAAUUAUUGGGCGUAAAGCGCACGUAGGUGGUCCCUUAAGUCGGAUGUGAAAUCCCUCGGCUCAACUGAGGACGUGCAUCCGAAACUGAGGGGCUAGAGUAUGGUAGAGGGUCGCGGAAUUCCCGGUGUAGAGGUGAAAUUCGUAGAUAUCGGGAGGAACACCGGUGGCGAAGGCGGGACUCUGGGCCUGCCCUGACGCUGAGGCGCGAAGGCGUGGGGAGCAAACGGG